rnacentral:rRNA from 1 species
GAUGAACGCUGGCGGCGUGCCUAAUACAUGCAAGUCGAGCGAACGGACGAGAAGCUUGCUUCUCUGAUGUUAGCGGCGGACGGGUGAGUAACACGUGGAUAACCUACCUAUAAGACUGGGAUAACUUCGGGAAACCGGAGCUAAUACCGGAUAAUAUUUUGAACCGCAUGGUUCAAAAGAGAAAGACGGUCUUGCUGUCACUUAUAGAUGGAUCCGCGCUGCAUUAGCUAGUUGGUAAGGUAACGGCUUACCAAGGCAACGAUGCAUAGCCGACCUGAGAGGGUGAUCGGCCACACUGGAACUGAGACACGGUCCAGACUCCUACGGGAGGCAGCAGUAGGGAAUCUUCCGCAAUGGGCGAAAGCCUGACGGAGCAACGCCGCGUGAGUGAUGAAGGUCUUCGGAUCGUAAAACUCUGUUAUUAUGGAAGAACAUAUGUGUAAGUAACUGUGCACAUCUUGACGGUACCUAAUCAGAAAGCCACGGCUAACUACGUG